UCCCUGAUGGUUCAGUGGUUAAGACUCCAGCUUUCAAUGCAGGAUGCAGAGGUUCAAUUCCUGAUAGGGGAA
rnacentral:tRNA from 1 species